rnacentral:rRNA from 1 species
GACGAACGCUGGCGGCGUGCUUAACACAUGCAAGUCGAACGGAAAGGCCCUGCUUUUGUGGGGUGCUCGAGUGGCGAAAGGGUGAGUAACACGUGAGUAACCUGCCCUUGACUUUGGGAUAACUUCAGGAAACUGGGGCUAAUACCGGAUAGGAGCUCCUGCUGCAUGGUGGGGGUUGGAAAGUUUCGGCGGUUGGGGAUGGACUCGCGGCUUAUCAGCUUGUUGGUGGGGUAGUGGCUUACCAAGGCUUUGACGGGUAGCCGGCCUGAGAGGGUGACCGGCCACAUUGGGACUGCGAUACGGCCCAGACUCCUACGGGAGGCAGCAGUGGGGAAUAUUGCACAAUGGGCGGAAGCCUGAUGCAGCAACGCCGCGUGCGGGAUGACGGCCUUCGGGUUGUAAACCGCUUUCGCCUGUGACGAAGCGUGAGUGACGGUAAUGGGUAAAGAAGCACCGGCUAACUACGUG